rnacentral:rRNA from 1 species
UACAGAGGGUGCAAGCGUUAAUCGGAGUUACUGGGCGUAAAGGGCGCGUAGGCGGUUGUUUAAGUUAGAUGUGAAAUCCCUGGGCUUAACCUAGGAACUGCAUCUGAUACUGGAUGACUAGAGUACUGUAGAGGGUAGUGGAAUUUCCGGUGUAGCGGUGAAAUGCGUAGAGAUCGGAAGGAACACCAGUGGCGAGGGCGGCUACCUGGACAGAUACUGACGCUGAGGCGCGAGAGCGUGGGGAGCAAACAGG